UCUGAGGAAUCGGCUCCCACAUAAUCAGGUCCCACAGAAAAGAAACAGAGCUCCAGAAAUCCCCCACGGCUGCUGAACCUCUCUACUGAUUUCCCCUCCGUUCCGAAAUGAUUCAAUAUUAUCCGUCAUGAGACUUGAUUCCGCUGCCCGUUUCUGAGAAGCCGUGCCCCCCAAAACAAUUCAAGGGUUUGUUUCUCAUGAGUCUGUUUAUUCUCUUCUCUGGGUUACACGUUCCUAAAAGGGGCAGCACCUCGACCGGAACCAGUGAUAUGAAAAACUGAGCCAAGAACCCAAGUCGGCGUUCUUGAUUUGAGCGCGUUCUUGGAGAGGCGAAUAAAACGUCAACACACGUUUCCUCCAAGCCUAGUUGCCUUUGUAAGUGAGCAGAGGUGUAGUGGAUAGUCACAAUCUGCCAGCCUUUCCCCUCACCUGCACUGCAGCCUGUGGCAAAGGGAAGGAAGAAGAUGGCCAAGAUCCUCAAGGGGCGGGGAGGCCAUCCACACAGGUGUAUGAACAAGAAUGGGCUGGCCCUCGGACAGCCCUCCGACACACUCCCCUCCCCCGAGUUGAACUACAGAAAACUGGGCUCCAUUCAUCAAGAUGGAGGCACCCUUUCCAUUUUUAGGCUCUGAGAACAAGGGAAAAAAUAGACAAGAUUUCAAAGGGCUCCGCCGGGCAGGCACUAUUGCAUCCCACGCUGUGAACAUGCGCUUGACGAGGCGCUGGAGAAAACGCGCCCCGACUGGAGUUGAACCUAGUUGCGUGAGGCGUGUUUCCAAGCCAGUCCCUGGCAGUCACCACCCCGCGCCCCUCGGGGCCGGGCCCCACGCUCUCGUGGACACCGGUUGGUCCCCUCUGGUCUUGUAUUCUCACCUGUCUCGGGAUCGCUGAAGUCUGGCAAAGUAAUUGUGUUAAGCUGUCGUCUGUCAGCAAUGGUUCUAUCUAAGAGGCUGCUCCCACGUCCAGAGUCACUGCAAAACACAGCUACAGAGGUCAGUCAUUUGAAGGGGGGCGGGGGGAAGACACAGACGUCACCACCACGGACCCCUGAAACACCGCAACACACCUUUUGUGCGUUUUUGAUGCUCUUUCACACCCUCUCCCUGGACUUCCAGGAAUCCGGCUUCCGGCCAGGCCUGGGAUCACGUUCCAUGUUCAUGGUCACCAACACACAUAAACCACACCCACAGACCCUUGCUAAUUUUAGCCCCUUUUGCGUCAUUAUAAGACACUUGAAAGAAGACUUGAAGGCAGGGACUCCAUCUGCCUCAGGGCGGGGAACGGACGGAUUCGCGUUCUGUGUUGCAAGUCUUGGAACUCAUCAAGCCCAGAAACACACACUGUCCUUUAUUAAUCAACGUCUGCACCUAAGUCACGGCCCGGGGAAGUCACCUGCCUGGGGCAUUUCUAGAAGACCCUAAUGCCUAGGCCCCUCUCCAGACAAAUCCAUGAGCAUUUCUGGUGCAGCCAACAUUUUUCUAAGCUCCCCAGAGGGCUCUGACGCGCAGCGAGAUCUGAGAACACCUGGCCCCUGCUUCUCCUUUCCAAGGGCAACCACAGCCGGGGCUUCGUCUGUGUCCCUAUUUAGCAGAUAAGGAAAGGGGGUUGUCAGGUCACAUGGCAGCUGCAGCUGGCACUACUGGUCGGCAAGUCACGUGGGAGACCCCAUCAUCAGGCUCUGGGUGGAAUGAAACACAGGUAGGGGACCGGAGCCCAUACAGACUCUGGUUUUAUUUUGUUCUAAGAAGUUUGUAAGCAAAACAAUGGCAUUCUUCCUUUUUUCCUCUAUCAUGAGAUUCCAUCAAAGGAGCUCCAAAACACAGCCCAUCUUAUCUCUGCAAGCUUGAGUCUAUGAUGCUUUUCUUUGAAUCUAUGUUGUUCGUCAAUCUGGGGGCCCUGGGAGUGUUAUUCUGUUGUUGUUAAGAAGUUCAAAUUCUAUAACACAAUUUCCUUCCUUUCCUUGCUGAAAGUGAUGCAAACAAGAUUUGGUAUGAAACUUAAUAUGGUUCACAGGCUGCAAUUUCCACAUCCAGUGAUGUAGUUAGAGAAAUCCACAGGAAACAGACGGAAACUUGCCUCCGUACAGACUACUUGUCAGCCUAUACUUAUUAUAUCACUGGAUACGCGUUUUUUUGGAAACUUCUAUUCAUUAUUUCCACAAUUAAGAGAUAAUAAAUGUCUCUGAGCCGAAGACAACACAAAAGUA